rnacentral:rRNA from 1 species
GAUGAACGCUGGCGGCGUGCCUAAUACAUGCAAGUCGAGCGAACGGACGAGAAGCUUGCUUCUCUGAUGUUAGCGGCGGACGGGUGAGUAACACGUGGAUAACCUACCUAUAAGACUGGGAUAACUUCGGGAAACCGGAGCUAAUACCGGAUAAUAUUUUGAACCGCAUGGUUCAAAAGUGAAAGACGGUCUUGCUGUCACUUAUAGAUGGAUCCGCGCUGCAUUAGCUAGUUGGUAAGGUAACGGCUUACCAAGGCAACGAUGCAUAGCCGACCUGAGAGGGUGAUCGGCCACACUGGAACUGAGACACGGCCCAGACUCCUACGGGAGGCAGCAGUAGGGAAUCUUCCGCAAUGGGCGAAAGCCUGACGGAGCAACGCCGCGUGAGUGAUGAAGGUCUUCGGAUCGUAAAACUCUGUUAUUAGGGAAGAACAUAUGUGUAGGUAACUGUGCACAUCUUGACGGUACCUAAUCAGAAAGCCACGGCUAACUACGUG